AGUGAACGCUGGCGGUAGGCCUAACACAUGCAAGUCGAACGGCAGCACAGUAAGAGCUUGCUCUUACGGGUGGCGAGUGGCGGACGUGAGAGGAAUACAUCGGAAUCUACUUUUUCGUGGGGGAUAACGUAGGGAAACUUACGCUAAUACCGCAUACCACCUACGGGUGAAAGCAGGGGAUCUUCGGACCUUGCGCGAUUGAAUGAGCCGAUGUGGGAUUAGCUAGUUGGCGGGGUAAAGGCCCACCAAGGCGACGAUCCGUAGCUGGUCUGAGAGGAUGAUCAGCCACACUGGAAGUGAGACACGGUCCAGACUCCUACGGGAGGCAGCAGUGGGGAAUAUUGGACAAUGGGCGCAAGCCUGAUCCAGCCAUACCGCGUGGGUGAAGAAGGCCUUCGGGUUGUAAAGCCCUUUUGUUGGGAAAGAAAAGCAGCAGGUUAAUACCCCGCUGUUCUGACGGUACCCAAAGAAUAAGCACCGGCUAACUUCGUG
rnacentral:rRNA from 1 species